UACGUAGGGAGCAAGCGUUGUCCGGAAUCAUUGGGCGUAAAGAGCGCGUAGGUGGCUGUAUAAGUCCGUUGUGAAAGUCAAAGGCUCAACCUUUGUAAGCCGAUGGAUACUGUAGAGCUAGAGUACGGAAGAGGCGAGUGGAAUUCCUGGUGUAGCGGUGGAAUGCGCAGAUAUCAGGAGGAACACCAAUAGCGAAGGCAGCUCGCUGGGACGUUACUGACACUGAGGCGCGAAAGCGUGGGGAGCGAACAGG
rnacentral:rRNA from 1 species